ACUCAAAUGAAUAGACGGGGACCCGCACAACCGGUGGAGCGUGUGGUUCAAUUCGAGACAAAGCGAAAGACCUUACCAGGUCUUGACAUCUUACCGUUUUAAGUCUGUGGAAACAUGGACCUAUCCGCAAGGAUGGUAGGACAGCUGCUGCAUGGCUGUCGUCAGCUCGUGCCGUGGGGUGUUCCUUUAAGUAGGAGAACGAGCGCAACCCGUAUCCGAUGUUACAAGUGUCAUCGGAGACUGCCCUGGCUUAUGUCAGGGAGGAAGGAACGGACGACGUCAAGUCAGCACGGCGCUUAUGACCUGGGUCACACACACCCUACAAUGGCGAAUAACAAUGGGAAGCUAGCGCGCAAGCGUAUGCAAAUCUCCUGUAAAUUUCGCCUCAGUUCAGAUUGGGGUCUGCAACCCGACCCCAUGAAGUCGGAAUCGGUAGUAAUCGCAGAUCAGCAGGCUGCGGUGAAUACGUUCUCGGGUCUUGUACACACCGCCCGU
rnacentral:rRNA from 1 species